rnacentral:rRNA from 1 species
GACGAACGCUGGCGGCGUGCUUAACACAUGCAAGUCGAGCGGUAAGGCCCUUUCGGGGGUACGACGAGCGGCGAACGGGUGAGUAACACGUGGGUGACCUGCCCUUAGCUCUGGGAUAAGCCUGGGAAACUGGGUCUAAUACCGGAUAUGACUCCAUGCGCAUGUUGUGGGGUGGAAAGCCUUGUGCGGCUAGGAUGGCCCGCGGCCUAUCAGCUUGUUGGUGGGGUGAUGGCCUACCAAGGCGACGACGGGUAGCCGGCCUGAGAGGGCGACCGGCCACACUGGGA